rnacentral:tRNA from 1 species
GAGGGUAUAGCUCAUUGAUAGAGUGCAUGCUUAGCAUGCACGAGGUCCUGGUUUCAAUCCCCAGAACCUCCA